UACGAGGGGGCGAGCGUUGUUCGGAAUUAUUGGGCGUAAAGGGUGCGUAGGCGGUUUGGUAAGUCUUAUGUGAAAUCUAUGGGCUCAACUCAUAGUCUGCAUGAGAAACUGCCGGGCUUGAGUAUGGGAGAGGUGAGUGGAAUUCCUGGUGUAGCGGUGAAAUGCGUAGAUAUCAGGAGGAACACCUGUGGCGAAGGCGGGUCUCUGGGCCGAUACUGACACUGAGGAGCGAAAGCGUGGGGAGCGAACAGG
rnacentral:rRNA from 1 species